rnacentral:rRNA from 1 species
CAGUCGCCGCGGUAAUACGUAGGGUGCGAGCGUUAAUCGGAAUUACUGGGCGUAAAGCGUGCGCAGGCGGUUGUGUAAGACAGGUGUGAAAUCCCCGGGCUUAACCUGGGAACUGCGCUUGUGACUGCACAGCUAGAGUAUGGCAGAGGGGGGUGGAAUUCCACGUGUAGCAGUGAAAUGCGUAGAGAUGUGGAGGAACACCGAUGGCGAAGGCAGCCCCCUGGGCCAAUACUGACGCUCAUGCACGAAAGCGUGGGGAGCAAGCAGGAUUAGAUACCCGCGUAGUCCCUGUCUCUUAUAC